UGAUCAAAUUCCAUAAAGCCCGAAGGGCUUUAUGGAAAAUUUGAUCAUGUACCAACCCGUAUUUAUAUCCCGAUAAAUAUUUUUAAAUGAUACCUUAUUACUUAUAUUUACAUUUUUGGUCGGUAACAUUGCUGAAUUGUGUUAACAACACGUUUCCAUACAUUUCAAAUUGUUGACGUCCACAACGAAGCGUCAUAGAUGUUCAAAAUGACGACAACACAAAACAAAGUUCUAUAAAAUGAAGAACUGUUUUAAUUAUUAAGACGCUAGAAAGCAAGUAUAUCAACAUAUACUUAUACAUUAACUCGGGAGUAUAUAAUGGAAAACUCUUCCAUAUGUCUAAUUUUAGGGGGUGGGGGAAUUAUGAUUUAAACGGGGAUGCGCAGUGUUACACAUAGAGUUGUGAUACGCUUUGACUUUUGAAAAGUGAAGACGUUGAAGACCGACUUUGAAAGAUAUUCUGUGGAUAUUGCAGAGUUAACAGAAAACUGAGAUGGAGGAACAUGAAGAACAGGGCGGCAGUCGUCAGGUGUAGGCAAAUUAUUUAUAGACAGGACAGAGGACGCAGCUCAGAUGAAUCUCCGGAAAGAACUGAACAUCGCAGAGAAUGUGGAACUGCACGAAGGUAAGGGACGGUUUGGAUUUGGAUAUGUAAUUGUUGAUAAACAUGAGCUCACUGAACGCUUCUUUUGACUCGAUAAUUUUUUGUAAUAGGUUUUUAACGACGCCUCGCUUCGAUGUCCCGACAUAAACUUGGAAACCGACAUCAAACACUAUGGCUGCUGUUGCACGGAAGCAGUGUGGUGUGUAGGUCUUAAUGCACUUUGACGACUUAUCGGCCAUACAUCCUGUGAACGACCUUUUUGCUAAAGCCUAAUGUAAUCGUCUAGCAGUAGGUACAAUUCCGCAUCACCGAUGACCAGGGUGAAGUUGUAGCAGACGAAAUUUUAGACAUAUUGUGCCGUUACCUAUUUUCGAUAGUAUCCUAAUUUCGAUAGAUUAUUAUUUUUAACGAUCAUUCGAUAUUGUAAUGUCAUUUUUCGGAACGUUUUUUCCCAAAAUCAGCGUCAGUAACAAGAAGUGUCAGAUAGCCAAAAAGAUCGAGAAUUACGCUUUUCAAAGAGAUAUUUUCCAUCCAGAGAGGAAAUUAUAAGAAUGAUGAUCCAGACGCCUUGGCCAAUGCUUUCCAGUCGGUAAAAUGUGGAAUGAGUGUCCAUGCUGAAUUGUUACUGCCAAAUGUUUCCAAGUCCCCUAGACAACUUUAAAAUAUGAUAAAUGGGCGUAAUAACAUUGGGGCGUGUGUCUUCAGGACCUUCACCACUUUUUAAAAAUUGUUUGAAGUUGCUUUAUUUGUUCAUUAUUAAAUGUAAUCAAUUUGGUCGAAAAAAUAAAAAUAAAAGAAUCAU